UCUGCUCGAUUAGUGGGACGCCCGAUUCUUGAGAACGUAUAAUAAACUUUGCUUUGCUUUGCUUCUAGAGAUAUCUCCAGCUUUUUUUUAUUAAAUGGUGUCUGAACCACACAGUACCAAUAGGAUGAGUCAAGUACUAGAAGAAUAGAAGAAGGGGCCUACUUGUGAAGAAAACAGAAGGUUUUCUAUUUGAUGCUGAACCUGGAGAAGAUUUUGUUGAAUUUAAGCGAGUGUUGGUAGCCUUGAGCCCUCAUAGAAUUUCCACAAGCAACUACUCCCUGAGAUUUCACCCUCUUGGAUUAGCUUUCUGGAUGCUGUUUGACUACUGAAAGAGUUCUGGAACACCCUCUGCAACCAUAUCUGAAAGUGCAGAGCUAAAGCAGAAAAAAAAAUGAACCAGCAAAGAAGAACUCAAUCACAGACACUUAAUGUGGGGAUAGGGAAGACUGGGAUUCAUCUUCAGAGGACACUGAAGUAAAAAAAGCUUCUUCUAUCCCAAAUGGUCCUUUGCCCAGAGAGAAUUUAUGGGCAAACUCCAAAGAGAAUUUAAAAAUCAAAUGAGAAAGACUAAACAAAAACUAAAACUAAAUUAAAAUAAAAACCAUCCAAAAGAAAUAAGAUUAUGAAAUUAUUCAACUAGAAAGGAAGAUACAGAAUCUUAAAGAUGAAAAUAACUCUUUAAAAAUUAGAAUUGGGAAAGGGGAAGUCAGUGGAAUUAUAAGAAAACAAGAAAUAACAAAAAUAUAAAGAAUGAAAAAAUAGAACAGAAUGUAAAACAUAAGAAAAAUAACAAAUUUGGAGAACAGAUCCAGAAGAGAACGUAAGAACAAUUGGACUAUCUGAAAGCUGUGACCAAUAAAAGAACCCUGAUAAAAUAAAGCAAGAUACAAUCCAAGAAAUUGUCCUAAAGUGAUAGAAAAUGAGAGGAAAGCAGAAAUGGAAAAAAAAAAUUACUGAUCACUCUGUCAAAGAGAUCCUUUGUGGAAAACAAAUAGAAAUAUCGCCAAAUUUCAAAAUCCCCAGAUCAAAGAGAAAAUUUUGCAAGGAACAAGGAAAAAAAAAACAAUUCAAAUAUGCUCGAGUUACAAUUAUAAUUUUACAGGAUUUAUCAGCAGCUACCAUAAAAGACUGCACAUCCUGGAAUCAUAAAUACUGGCAAGCAAAACAAUUAAGCCUGUGGCUAGAAAUAUCAUAUCCAGUAAAAUUAUUCAUAGUCUUGAAUGGAAAAAAAAAUAGACAUUUAAUGAGUUUGCAGAUUUUCAGGAUUUUCAAACAAAUCCAAACUCAAUAGAAAAUUUAACACAAGAGAACCAAUAUCAAUGACUAAUUUCAAGAAAUUUAAUAUGAACAAAUUGCUUAUUUUUUUUUUACAUAGAAAUAUAUGCUUUAUAUUUAAGAUUGGCAUCAGUAAUUGGAUAGUUCAAAAAAAACUGGGGCAGAGUUGAGUAUGAUUUAACUUUAAAAAGCAAAAUCAUCCAGCAAAAGUAAAAAUAGUUAUUAUGUUAUACAAAUGAAGUACAGAGAAAGAAUAGACACAAAGGCAUUAGAGGGGGGAGUAGGCAUAUAGUUCUGAAAACCUACUCACAUCAGGAAUGGGUUCAAAAGGCAACAAUACAUAUAUACUAUGAAGGGUAUAGCUCAUAAUUCUGAAAACCUACUGACAUCAGGAAUGGGUUAAGUAGGCAACACUAAAUAUAUUCCAUGAAGGUUGUAGCACCCUACAAAAUCUAUAAAGAAAUAAGAGAGAGGGAUGGGAAGACAGGGAAGUAAAGGGUUAGAGAGGAAGACUAGGGAGGCAUCCAUGCGUGGGAGGAAGUUAAGUAAGCCAAGUUAAGGAGCAGAAUUAAAGAGACUUACACCAACUGAUGCUAAGUGGAGUAGAAUGAAGAGAGGAUGGUAUACAGCAACAACAAAAUUAUACAGUGACUAUUGAUUAGAAAAAUGCAAAUUAAGACAAUUCUGAGGUACCACUACAUACCUCUCAGAUUGUUUAAGAUCACAGGAAAAUAUAUUGAUGAAUGUUGGAGAGGAUGUGGGAAAACUGGAACACUGGUUGUUGGUAGAGUUGUGAACUGAUCCAACCAUUCUGGAAAACAAUUUAGAAUUAUGCCCAAAGGGCUAUCAAAAUGUGCAUACCCUUCCAUCCAGAAAUGUCUCUACUGGGCCUGUAUCCCAAAGAGGUCAUACAAAGGGAAAGUACCCACGUGUGCAAAAAUGUUUUUAGCAGCUCUCUUUGUAGUGAGAGAGCAACUGGAAACUGAAUGUAUGCCCAUCAAUUGGAGAAUGGCUGAAUAAAUUGUGGUAUAUGAA